rnacentral:rRNA from 1 species
GACAGAGGUGCCGAGCGUUAGGCGGAAUCACUGGGCUUAAAGCGUGUGUAGGCGGGUCGUUAAGUGUCCGUGUGAAAUCCCACCGCUCAACGGUGGAACCGCCGGGCAUACUGGCGAUCUUGAGCAGUCCAGGGGCGAGCGGAACAAGCGGUGGAGCGGUGAAAUGCGUAGAUAUCGACUUGGAACGCCCGACGGUGAAA